rnacentral:rRNA from 1 species
GACGAACGCUGGCGGCGUGCCUAAUACAUGCAAGUAGGACGCACAGUUUAUACCGUAGCUUGCUACACCAUAGACUGUGAGUUGCGAACGGGUGAGUAACGCGUAGGUAACCUGCCUGGUAGCGGGGGAUAACUAUUGGAAACGAUAGCUAAUACCGCAUAACAGUAUGUAACACAUGUUAGAUGCUUGAAAGAUGCAAUUGCAUCGCUAGUAGAUGGACCUGCGUUGUAUUAGCUAGUAGGUAGGGUAAUGGCCUACCUAGGCGACGAUACAUAGCCGACCUGAGAGGGUGAUCGGCCACACUGGGACUGAGACACGGCCCAGACUCCUACGGGAGGCAGCAGUAGGGAAUCUUCGGCAAUGGGGGGAACCCUGACCGAGCAACGCCGCGUGAGUGAAGAAGGUUUUCGGAUCGUAAAGCUCUGUUGUUAAGGAAGAACGAGUGUGAGAAUGGAAAGUUCAUACUGUGACGGUACUUAACCAGAAAGGGACGGCUAACUACGU